AAGGAAAAAGUGUCAAUAUUUUCCCCUAUUGCUCUUCAUUAUAUUAUCAGUUAAUAACGUCAUAGAAGUGGUUUAUAUUCGUCUUUUCUCCACUAACCCUAUCCAUUUUAGCUAUAAGGUGAAGAUGGUGGUGACUUUGAGUAGUGGUCGAAGAAGAAGGUUGGAGCAUUGAGUUGACAUGUCAUAUGUUUAGUGUUGCGCGAACACUACAUAUAGUCUAGAGGCUAGCCAAACUGUUGAGCCUAGGGCAGACCACAAAGAGGUCCAAGAAUUAGACAGCCCAACAAUAGAUUUCUUUGGAAUUCAAAUUGAGUAGAAAUAAAAAAAGAAGUGUUUGUGGUUUUGAGAAGUUUAUAUGUAAUCCAAAAAUGCAGCUAAAUUAUCACAGGAAGAUAUGAAAAAUAUUUUUGUUCCUAUAUUUUCAAAGAAGGUAGAAUAUUAAGAUAUUUUAAUGAUCUGGAGAAAAUGCCAAUAUGGAGGAAUCUUUCCUCCUAAAUUGUGUAGCAGUGUAAUGUUGUGUUUUUGUCAAGUAUGGCACAUAAGAAUCUUCCUGGACUUCUUGGUGUGAAUUACAUGUUUCGCUCAACAAAUUUCUUUGAUAGAUUUGUUGGCACUUUUGUUUAAAUAAUUUAGGAUUGAAGUUGCACUUGGAAAUUCCAGUGAGAUUUGCUCAUAUCCAUUACUUUAUCAAGUAUGCAACAAUUUUGGUGUCCUCUCCUGCUGAUAGAAUCCCUUUGAGACCCGUAGCCGCCAAAGAAUUCUUAUUCAUAUGCCCUAUUCUUAAAAUCUGUACUUAGAUCUAAGGUUUUGCUUUCUUCCCUUUUUCUUAAUUGUAUUACUUUCUAAAACUACUUUAUAGUUAAAAGGAUAACCUGAAACGUCAUGUAAAUGUUUAGAACAGCUAAAAGCUAUGUUCUUGGUUUUACUCUCAUGAGUAGACUCUAGAUUCAUUCAGAUAUAACAUUCAUCUUAUUGAUUUUGGGCAUCAUUGUGGAUCAUAAGUUAUGUUUCUGUAAUUUAAUCAUAUUCCUCUAUUUCUUUCAGCCCCCCUGGUGUACCUUAAUUCUCCUCACAAGAGAGCUCGCUAAUCUAUGGAAUCGCUGCGCCUUGGAAAAUAUACAGAGAUAACUACACUUAUUGCCCACUGAAAUAAUUUUUUGAUAUUUGGUUAUUUCUUUGAUAUUCUCAUUGCAACAUCCUUUUACAGUGGUUUAAUGAUGUCUUCUCAACUAAUGUAUCUGAAAAGUGCGAGAAUAUUUUCAGUCGACUAUCAGAAAGUAUGGAUGCAAUGUAAGUCUAUUUCUGUUAUCAACUGAUAUAUCUGACAAGUGCAAGAAUGUUCUCAGUCGGCUAUCAGAAAAGCAUUGAUGCAAAGUAAGUUUAUUUCUGUUAUUACAUUCUUCAUUGCUUUAUCUUGAACUUUGGCAUGGGCAUCUACUUGCUUUUUGGUUUAGAACUGCAGGAACCAUUAGCAUCAAUUUUGUGAGUAUCUAUCAUUCUACAUGUCUGUCACUUGCCUAAUAUUUUUCCUUAUCUCAUGAGAUGCGCUUAACAUAUUGUUUCUAUUGGGUCUGAAGCAUCAAACUUACUGAAUCCGGACUAUAAUGAUGGUUACAUAGUUUUUGGUGCAUUGCUUUAUAUCCGGGAUGACUUCAAAUCUGUCGAUAAGCAUACAUGGUUGCAAGUAAGUGAUUAACUCUGGUUUACAUAUUAAAUCAAUUUGAUUAUACAAGGUUUUUCUGUUAAAAAAGGGAAGAGUAUGAUUACUUUAUUGGGGAUAGUGAAACGUUAUAUUUACUUCAAACAAAGAGAACAGUAUUAAAUUGCAAGCUUCCAAAAGAUAGUGAUCAUAUAAGGAUUCUCCGUAGAUAGAAUCCUUGGGAUUUUUCUAAGUGAUGUAUAGAUUAUAAAAUCUCAAAGGAAAAAAAUUUAACUGAAAAAAAUCCUUCAGUUUUAGUUGGGUAAUUCUUAGAAAGAAUUCCUCCUAGCAUGACUUAUGGAACUCAGCUGUUUGUCUGAAAAACAAAAACAGUAAAGAACAAGAAUUGAAAGAUUUUAGUUCUUCCAUUCAACAACAGGGUUAAAGAAAUUCAAUCAAAUAUAUUGUCAAGUGAACCAUUCUACACCAAAGCAAUAAAAUCAAACUUCUUUAAUCAAUGAAAUGAGAUAGGCAGAACAAAAAAUCAAAUGCUGCAAAACCAUGAAAUAAGAACUCUUGGGAAUAUCGAUAAUGAAUGUUGUUAUAGCUUAGCUUAAUAUUCAUUCUUGGUCAAUUGUAACAUAUUUAAUGGAGUCAAGAUGUGAAAGAAGGAACAAAAACCAAGAAUUCAAAGAAAAAAAUUAUAGAAUAAAUAAGGCACUUUUAAGAGCUGAAGAUGUUAAUACUAUGAACUUGUGCCUCCAGAGGUAACUCACACUCAUUAUGUCUUCAUUCUAUCACCCAUUCCCCGGUGAAGCCGUUGCGCUUCUGCCAUAUUACUUGUGCAAUUUGUUAUUGAAACAUAAUACUUUUGUGAUUUUGGUAGUAAUUUUAUUAUUGUUGUGGGUAAAGUUCAGUAGCAUACUAGAAAUUGAACCCGACAAAAUUUAAGAUACACAAACAUGACUGGUACGAAGGCUCCAAUAACACUUAAAAACUACUACUCCAAAUAAAAGAGAUCAAAGCAUUUAGCAAAUUGUCGUUAAAUUACUUAAGGACUUAACUGUAGCUGGAGCACUGUACAGUAGACCAAAGUUUAAGUGAAGUAAAGCGAUGGAUCAAUUCAUUGGUCGAAGCAGUUUGUCUUGAAGCAGAAGAAAACUUUGAACACCCUCCCCCCCUUUUUAAGGUCAGUUUUUUGCUCUUUCCAGUGAUGAAUAAAUAGUCAAAAGAGAUAAAAGGGUAGUUGUUUUCUUUCUUUAUACAAAUAGCUCUUGUACAUAAUCAGCCAGAUCGGAACACUAGAAGGAAGGAAGUAAGAAUGUAUUUUCAUAAUUGUAUGUACAACAUUUUUUCUUUGGUUUUUGAAGAGUUAUAGAAAGGGUAAUCCAAUACACUCAGGUUUUGAUUAUGCACAUAUGGGUUGCAGCAGGGUUAGAUUACAUUAGGUCAAUCGGGCAAGCUAUUCAGUUUGCAUUACAUAAUUAUUUAUGGGGUUUGCGCAAGGGUUGGAUUACAUUAGGUCUAUUAUACAAGCUAUGCAGCUUUUGGUUGCAUUUUUAUAGCUUGAAUACUUGGUGACUUCUCUAGAAACUUGAAUAUUCAACAUGUUGCAGUCCAUAACCUGCUUCCAGACCACCAACCAGUCUAUGUUAAGCGUAAUGACAUUAUUAAAGCUAUUCCUCACUUUUGGUUGACGUCUUUCUUGAGUCAUCCUGUUCUUGGGAAACUUCUAAAUGAAGAGGACCAUAAGGUUUGAUCUAAAUUAGAAACUAUAACGUAGACAAUUAUCAAAUCUUCCACUACAUUUCUUUUCCCAGAUUUGACCAAUGCUGAAAUGGCAAUUUGACUCCCAAUUCUUAUAAAAUUUAAGUUCUUCAUAUAGCUUUUUGGAUUCUGAAUCUAAAUACACAAGUGUCUUUCUUCAUUCUAUAUUUUCAAGUUUCUACGUUCGGUCGAAGUGGAAGACAAUAAGGAUGUGAAAACAGGUUAUACGAUCACGUUUAACUUCAAUUCAAAUUCUUAUUUUGAAAAUACAAAGCUUCAUGAUGAUAUAACAGUUAUAGUGAUGUAUUUGGAUCGCCCUGAAAGGUCCACAAAUGCUGGAUCGAACAUUGUUAAGGGCACGAACAACCCUCUUGACAUAUACUCCAUGAAUACAUCUUAUGUUUCUCCAUGAAUAGUGUCUAAUACAUGUACACGGUAUAUGAUUUUGUAAAUACUUCGUCUUAGAUUUGUAAAGUAUUCUUAUAUACUUUUAGAUAACAAUCAGAAGGACCAGCCGUGUACGUAUAUCUUAAUGUAUAUGUACCUUAUGUAUUGUAGUUUAUAGGUUAAGCUGAUGAAAAGUGAGCUUGGGCUUUCACU